AGAGUUUGAUCCUGGCUCAGGAUGAACGCUGGCGGCGUGCUUAACACAUGCAAGUCGAACGGGGAUGCUUAUGGAAGGAGUGCUUGCACUUUGGAAAUGAGUAUCUUAGUGGCGGACGGGUGAGUAACGCGUGGGUAACCUGCCCCAUACCGGGGGAUACCACCUGGAAACAGGUGCUAAUACCGCAUAAGCGCUCGGGAGCGCAUGCUCCUGUGUGAAAAACUCCGGUGGUAUGGGAUGGACCCGCGUCUGAUGAGCCAGUUGGCAGGGUAACGGCCUACCAAAGCGACGAUCAGUAGCCGGCCUGAGAGGGUGGACGGCCACAUUGGGACUGAGACACGGCCCAAACUCCUACGGGAGCAGCAGUGGGGAAUAUGCACAAUGGGGGAAACCCUGAUGCAGCGACGCCGCGUGAGUGAAGAAGUAUUUCGGUAUGUAAAGCUCUAUCAGCAGGAACGAGACAAGACGGUACCUGACUAAGAAGCCCCGGCUAACUACGUGCCAGCAGCCGCGGUAAUACGUAGGGGGCAAGCGUUAUCCGGAAUCACUGGGUGUAAAGGGAGCGUAGACGGCUGAGCAAGCCUGAAGUGAAAGGCGGGGGCCCAACCCCCGGACUGCUUUGGGAACUGUACGGCUGGAGUGCAGGAGAGGUAAGUGGAAUUCCUAGUGUAGCGGUGAAAUGCGUAGAUAUUAGGAGGAACACCAGUGGCGAAGGCGGCUUACUGGACUGUAACUGACGUUGAGGCUCGAAAGCGUGGGGAGCAAACAGGACUAGAUACCCUGGUAGUCCACGCCGUAAACGAUGAUUACUAGGUGUCGGGGGGCAGAGGCCCUUCGGUGCCGCAGCAAACGCAAUAAGUAAUCCACCUGGGGAGUACGUCCGCAAGGAUGAAGCUCAAAGGAAUUGACGGGGACCCGCACAAGCGGUGGAGCAUGUGGUUUAAUUCGAAGCAACGCGAAGAACCUUACCCGGCCUUGACAUCCCCCUGACAGCAUAUGUAAUGUAUGUUCCUUUCGGGGCAGGGGAGACAGGUGGUGCAUGGUUGUCGUCAGCUCGUGUCGUGAGAUGUUGGGUUAAGUCCCGCAACGAGCGCAACCCUUACCCACAGUAGCCAGCACAAAAGGUGGGCACUCUGUGGGGACUGCCGGGGACAACCCGGAGGAAGGUGGGGAUGACGUCAAAUCAUCAUGCCCCUUAUGGCCGGGGCUACACACGUGCUACAAUGGCGUAAACAAAGGGAAGCGAGAGAGUGAUCUUAAGCGAAACUCAAAAAUAACGUCCCAGUUCGGAUUGCAGUCUGCAACUCGACUGCAUGAAGCUGGAAUCGCUAGUAAUCGCGGAUCAGAAUGCCGCGGUGAAUACGUUCAGGGGUCUUGCACACACCGCCCGUCA
rnacentral:rRNA from 1 species